AGGAACUAUGGGCCAAAUGUGAUGGACGCAUUGAUGGAGUUGCUUGUAACCUUGGCUACAUCAAACGGAAAAUACGUUGAUUUGUGUUUAGACAUGCUUGUAAGCAACUUCAUACCACCUUACAAUUUUCUAGAGAUAUUGAAGCAGCCACGUGGAUUAGCAAAAAAGGACCAAGUACUUGCCCGUGUACAUGCAGCAUUGAAAGGAAUCGCUGAUUUAGGGCCUCUAGCACCUUAAAGAUUGGAACAAAUUGUCCGGGAGAGAGUGCCAAAUGUAUUCGCCAAGGAAGUUCAAAUAGUUGUAUAUGUGGAGAACAUGCUAAUGUUGGAGAGUAGUGAUAUGGGAGAGUUUGUUGGCAACUCUAUGAUAUUUGAAUUGGUGAAUAGGCUGAUAGACCUUGAUGUGGAGAUAGGAUAGGAUGAAGUUUUGCUGGAUGAUCCAAAUAAUAAAGGGAUUUUUGUGAUGGAGCUAGAAGAUUUGGCACGAACUGAUGAAAUAGAGAUGGAUAUGGAUGAGGCGAAAAGGGAUCUUACUGACCCCGAGAAUGCUGUGAUUGGUGCUUUUGCAGGUAAUUUGUUAUUUUAAACUAUUUGUUUGAAGAUUAUUGUACAAGAUAGUUAGUUUUGCAUGUA